rnacentral:rRNA from 2 species
GGGUUGUGAGGUUAAGCGACUAAGCGUACACGGUGGAUGCCCUGGCAGUCAGAGGCGAUGAAGGACGUGCUAAUCUGCGAAAAGCGUCGGUAAGGUGAUAUGAACCGUUAUAACCGGCGAUGUCCGAAUGGGGAAACCC